rnacentral:rRNA from 1 species
CAGUAGCCACGGUAAUACGAAGGGGGCUAGCGUUGCUCGGAAUUACUGGGCGUAAAGGGCGCGUAGGCGGAUGUUUAAGUCAGAGGUGAAAGCCCAGGGCUCAACCUUGGAACUGCCUUUGAUACUGGACAUCUUGAGUGUGGGAGAGGUGAGUGGAACUCCGAGUGUAGAGGUGAAAUUCGUAGAUAUUCGGAAAAACACCAGUGGCGAAGGCGACUCACUGGCCCAUUACUGACGCUGAGGCGCGAAAGCGUGGGGAGCAAACAGGAUUAGAUACCCCUGUAGUCCCUGUCUCUUAACA